rnacentral:lncRNA from 1 species
CUUUCCAUCACUCCUUCCAACCACCUCAUUUUCAUCACAACUUCCACAAGAUACACACUAAUCUCUCUCUCUCUCUCUCUCUCUCUCUCUCUCUACAUUGUUGUAUCAACAUUUAAAACUGUGGACUAACUGUAUCUAGCAUAAUUGAUUAAAAGCUUAAAGUUUGAGAUUCAAAAUUCUUUCAAACUAGGAACCUAAAUGCUUCACAUUUUUUACAAAUUUUGUUUAUUCAAAAAUAAACGAAACAGUUAGUAUGCUAUCUUUUUUCUUAAUUAAAAACAUAAUAUUUGAAACAACAGCUGUCUGCUGGUAAAUCACUUGAUACUUUUCUUGCAAAGAAGCCCGCGUGAAUUCAAUGCUCUUGUGUGCGGCGUUCUCAAAUUGUUAUUAUUUUUUUAAACACUACUACUAAUGAAUCUUCCAAAGUUGCAAGCUAAUAUGCUAAUAUGUUGAUAUAUCUCACAUGAAUAUAGCACAGACCAACGUGCUAGAAAAAAUACGUUGUAAGUGUUAAAAAAAAAAAAGAAAAUUAUAUGAGUCAAUCUAGGAUACCUUCAAAAGCAUGUGAAUAGUAUCUAUUAUUAACUUUUUAAAUGUCAGGUCCAUAUAGUGUCAUUACUAAAUAGUAAAAUCUAAAUAUCUGAAGGGUAAAAGGUUUAAAGUAUGUACUGCUUAUAUAUAUGCUUAGAGUAUUAUAAUCCUACUAAAAUUAGAGUUGAACUAGAAUAUUUUUAUAUGUUUUACUUUUUCACCUUUGAAUUUACUUCUAUUCUAUUUAUUCCCACUAAACCCAAACAUUCAAAAACAACAAAGUUUUUUUUUUUUUUGAGAAAAAAGUAAUAUACUACCUGCUUCGUUUAAUUAUUUCUAAAAUCCUUUAGAAAAAAACUUAGUUGAAAAUGUGAAUUAAUUAUAAAUCAAACUUAAAAUCUCGGAUACUAAUCAUCAAGUCUUUUUCCACUUCCGUUAGGAACAUUAGGUAAUAACAACAAACAUUGAAAGUACACGAUUAUUGAUACUUUCAUAAAUAUUCCUGCUCAAGUUCCAAAAUUAUAUACUUUUUUACUAUUAUCACAAGUAUGAGGUAUCGCCAUGGUCUAGUCGUAGGUAAUGCUCUUUGACCACCCUAACAUUUCAUAAAUUUUCUCUUAUUCCAAAUCCUAUUAUUACAACACUCGGACUUAAUUUCUGCUUACGAUUGAAGAAGCGAUAGUGUUUGCUCCGCAAUAGUUACCAAUUUGCUUUUCCUCGCUUUAGUUAGUACAAUUAAUUUUCCUUUUCAUAAAAUUAUAAUUCAUUUGAUGAGAGAAACAAUAAAUAGAACAUUUUGAGGUUUAAAGUAAACAAAUUGAUUUAAAAUUUUUUCUUCUGCUUUUGAAAGAAGCUAUUGAAGGAUUACAACGAAACUAUUAAUAUCUACUUUUUUAAAAAAAAAAUACUAACAUAUUUAAUCUAGUGGCGCUAAAACCUAUAUAUUGCAGAGCAAACUUUCCUUUGGUUAAUGAAAGAGAUAUAUAAUUGUAAUUAAGUUUCAGCACCAAAAACAAGUUUUUGGGCCAAACUGCAUGCAGUGGGCGAAAGUUAAUUGGUGGGUUGUUUUCUAUCGAAAGUCAAAGUGUCAGCCCAUCAAAAUUGCAAUUCGAAAGAGUUAGUGCAUAUGUUUCCUGAUUUUGAUCUCUUUAUUUAUAUUUUGUGGAAAUUAAAAAAAUUUAAAUAUCCUUACAAUAAUCUUUUAAACAAUUCUCGUAUAAGAUUAUCCACUCUAUACCCAUAAAUCAACUAAAAAAACCCCAAAAUUAGAUUCCGAAAAGAAAAAAAUACACAAAUUGUUCUAAGGCUUCCUUUGAUAUUGUAGAGAGAUUGUGUUAUAUGCCAUGAGAAAGUACGUUGAAAAAAUAUUCUAUUUGUUUUCAUACGUAAUAUUGCGUUCCACACAUCACGAUGAGUCGGUUACGUUAUAUUUUCUACGGUCCCAUCGGAAAACACAGAAAUAUAUCUCUAUAUACUUUUACCUGAACUCCAUUUUAUCUAAUAACGUUAGAUGAGCCUCACUACCAAACUAAACCUAAAUAGCGCCGUCUCUAGGAUAUUCUUUACGAAAAUAAAUUCUAUUAAUUAAAGUGUCCACUCCCAGUCACACAUUCAAAAUUUGAUCUUAAUUUUAUACAGCAAGUAGUUGUGUGUGUGACUCCAUUAAUUCCCCUGCAUGCGACGUGGCCGGGGAAAGAGAAUUUUUACGUGAAACUAUCACGGGUGGAAAAACACACGUAUAUAUGUUCUUGAAUCUCAAAUACAUUUUAUGAAUACUAGUUGGGUGUACGUACAAAUACACAUAAUAAUUAUUUUAAUUUAUUUUAAAUUAAUAUAAAAUUGCACAUUAUAUUUAUUUAAAAAUUUAUAAUUUGUAAAUUCAUAUAUUAUAUUUUAUUAGAAAAUAUUUGUAAUAUUCUAUAUUUUUUUAUAUAUAUUAAAUAUUUUUAUAUAUUUUUUGAUUUCUGAUGAUCUAAAAUUUAAAUAUGUGUUUUAAACAAAAAACAUCAAAAAUUAAUUCAUAUUUAUUUCAAAAUUUAAAAUUUAAUUUUCAUCCACUAUAAUUUAAAUUUUUGAAUAAGAAUGCUAUUUUUUACCAAAUUAAUCAUAAUUGUUCGUUUUUAUUUAAGAUUUUUUUAAUUAAGUCAACAGUUCAUUUUUAUUUGACACGACCUUUCGUAGGAUUGGAUUUAUAGAUGGAUAAGAAUUCUAUUUUUUAAUAGAUUAAUCAUAACCGUUCAUUCUUAUUNACUUUAGUACCCUUUAGUUUUAACUUUAUUACUAAUUUAACGAAAAAAAUUAGUGGAAUCGAUAAUAAAAAGAGAAAAUGCGAAACCACAGAAAUAAUAUUUGAAGUUUACCCUGAACCAUUUAAAAAUGUGUUAUAUAUAUAUAUAUAUAUACUAGUUGAAUGUACGUGCAAAUGCACGUAACAAUUAUUAUAAUUUAUUUCAAAUCAAUAUAAAUUGUUACAUGAUCAAAUUUUAAUUUUAAUGUAAAAUAGAUUAAUAGAAAUGUCAUUUUUUAACAAAUUGAUCUUAACCGUUUGUUUUAAUUUGAGAUAUUUUUUAAUAAAUUAAUUAUAAUUGUUCAUAGAAUUGAAUUUAUAGAUGGAUGCCAAUGCUAUUUUUUAAUAGAUUGAUUAUAACUAUUCUUAUUUGAGAUAUUUUUUUAACAAAUUGAUCAUAACCAUUUAUAGAGAAUAGAUUUUUAUAUGUAGUAGAAAUUUAAUAGAUUGAACAUAACCGUUCGUUUUUAUUUGACAUAUUUUUUAACAAAUUAAUUAUAACCAUUCGUAGGGAAUAUUAUUUUAUAUUUAAUAGAUUGAUCAUAACCAUUAAUUUUAUUUGAGAUAUUUUUAACAAAUUUUUAUUUGAGAUAUUUUUAACAAAUUAAUGAUAACCAUUCGUAGGAAAUAUUAUUUUAUAUUUAAUAGAUUGAUUAUAGCUGUUAAUUUUUAUUUGAGAUAUUUUUAAUAAAUUAAUUAUAACCAUUCGUAGGGAAUAUUAUUUUAUUCCUUUUUGAAUUCCGCCUGUCAUUGUCGGAAUUCUUAUACGCUUUUAUAUAUAGUAUAGAUAUAGAUAUAGAUAUAGAUAUAAAUAUAGAUAAUUUGAAACUUUGUUCCUUUAUGAAUAUACUAUCUCAAUUCAAAAUUUCAUCACUUGAAACGUUUUGUUUCAAUCUUAACGAGGAUGCAACACCUGGCUCCAAGCAAUGUGGCUGGGACAGUUGCACUCGUGAAGAGCACCAAACCACAUUUAUGGUGAAAAUUACUUACUGCUACAGAUCGAGUUCCAAUUCAACUUGGCCCUUCCACAAGAUUUUUUUUACUGUAAAAUACAACAAAUAAAUUUCUAAAUACCCAUAUAUAGUAAUUAUUGUAUAAAAUAUUCUUAAAUACUUUUCACAUUUAAUUAUUUAUCUCGCAAGUUUACAAAUUAAGAAGCCACAUAGCGACGAAGAAGAUAUUAUUAUUGCAUGGAAACUGGUCUAUACCUGGUCUAUAGACCAGGUUCUCCAAAUCUCAAACGGGGAGGCCUUAAUAUAAAAUCUAAAAGCAAAUAUUUUAAAAUUUUCAUUUCUUUGAAAUUUUUUCACUGAUUUUACGAGCAAUAUUAAUUAAAAGCAACUGCUUAAAAUUCAGAUAAAUGAUUUUCAAAAUUAAUUACCUUUCGAUGCUAAAUAAACCACUGUAAAACCGGCCAAAAUCAUAUCUAACGUUUUACAUUUAGAUUGUUGAGCCUCCAGGUUCGAAUCUUAAAGACCCUGGUGCAUAGACCAGGUGCAUGCAACAAUAAAUUCUCACAUAUAUUUCCAAUUCUCGGCCUAGCCAUGCACCGUUGGGAUACUGCUCAUGGGCAUGUGCAUGAGCGGGUUUGACCUUUGGUUGACCCCGCAACACCCCUCCCCGCACAACGCGGACGACACUUGCACCGUCUGAUCCCUGCCCGCAAACAGAUCCAACGGCUCCGAUGAUUCCACUCCCGCACUGAUCUCCUCCUCCUCGGCGGUAUCACGCACGACCCCGGUAAUCUCCUCCGCCUCCUCGUUCUCGCGCUUUAAAGCACACGCGGAAGCGCAGCACUCGACGAGUCGGAGGGUGAGCCUACCGCCCCUCCUCCGCGCCCGGAAGUACACGUGGCGCCUCGAGGCCACCUCGCGAAUCACGAGGCGCCCGUCGCCCGCGUACGUGCGCCGCAGCUCGCGCCGGCGCGGAAUCGGCGGCGGGAGGCCGCGGCCGCCGACUCUGCCCCUCCGACCAUACGCAGCCCAGCACGUGUCCUCCUCGUACUCUUCUUCUUCUUCUUCUUCUUCUUCUUCUGCGUCCUCCUCUGUUUCGGCUUCGGGGGCGUCGUUAAUUACGCACUCUUCUGCGGGGGAGCGAGGUGGGGAUGAUCGUACGGCUCGGAUGUUGUUGCGGGUGACGCAGUUGACGGGGCCGUUGAGAUUCGUGUCGGCUAGGUUUUUGAGGCCGAGUGGGAUCAUGGUGGCGGUGGUUUCUCUGGUUUUGGUGAAGAGGAGGAGAGAAGGGAGCAAUAUUAGGUUGACAAUGGCGCAGGAAGGAGAAGAGAGAGAGGAGUGAGACCUUUUCCAAGGGGGGUUGACGUGUAUUUAUAGGGGGCGAUGGAGGGGUAGUAUAUAUAUAUAUAUAUAUAUAUCGAAAGAGAAAUAGGCAUCUCUAAAUCUCGAGAGUGCACACCGAAGUAGAAUCUACACGAAAUAGAAACAUAUCAUCCAAAGAACACCGGAGUAUUCGGUGCACCGCGUCUAACCAAAUCAUCAACUAUUUAAAAGCCCUGUAUAUUAAAAUAUUAUUAUAGAUUUUAAGCACAUAUUUUUAAGAAUUAAAUAAAAUGAAAAAAAAAAAUGUGUUUUCACACGUAAUGGUGCAUGAGUUUUAACAAACACACCAAGCGCACGCAAUAAUUUCUCUUUAUUAGAGAUGAGGAGAUUCCUGUAUCGAGAAGAGAAAAGUGUGGCAGUGCCAGCUAGAAGUGAAAAAAGUGAGAUCGUCAUGUUGCAAUUAAAGCCGUAGCCGUAGGGGGAGUUUUGAGGGGGCGGGUGCGGUGAAUAGGGGAGUCGGGGGGGACUAAUCUGCAAUUAUGGCACGUAAUAACGCCGAAACAUUAAUAAAUAAUUACUCUUUUUAAUGAUGUCUAUAUGUGUAUGUAUACAAUUAUCCCAAAAAAUCACGACCGUUGACGUGGGCGUGGUGGCCCCCCGGGGACUGCCCCUUUUUAACGGCCCGUGAUCGCGACACGUGCGCGGAGAGACGCGUUAACUUGGAGUGGUGAUGAGAGUCUCGAGUUCUCUCCGGCGUGGCAUGAAUUCCCGGAUAAGCUAAAUCCCAAAAUUCAUGGAAAAAAAAUUAUUAUUAUUAUUAUUAUUAUGUGUCCAUUUCGAAGUUUAAUAACUUGCUAUAACUAUUGGAUUUAGAUUACCUUAUACAUAUACACUUACGAUUCUUUUUUAUAUCUACUAAUUAGUGAUUAGUGAUUGGAUUAGAUGCAUGUAACUACACACAUACAAUUAUAGAAAGCUACAGAGAUACUAAGAUGGGCAUAAAUUCACUCAUACACACCCAUCGUUGCAUAAGUCAUUAUCGUCUACACUUGAUCAUCAUAGUUUAGUAUUAAAAAAUCUAAUGUACUGGAUAUAUUAUAUACAGAAGAUACACGUGUCAGAGAUUACAAAUUUUAGACACAAAUUUUCUACUGAUAGCUAGUUAGAGCAAUAUAUCGCGACCGAAUGCGGAGGUGAUAGACUUAUAUGUAUGGUACGUUGCAGAUAAUAUUUAUUCAAUAAAUUUAUUAGAUUUUGGAAUUAAUACUUAUAAUUGAUAAUUGAUAUAUGUAGUUAAUGAUGUAUAAGUAAUGUGAUGCAACUCCAAUAUGCCAAACUUUAGAUCCACUACGGAGCCUUGUCACAAAAAAGGCAACUAGGCUCUGGGCCAUCAAUGGAAACAAUUGGGCCGUCGGACCUUUUGUGUUGCCCAUUGCUCUUUUUUGUUUUCUUUUUUUUUUUUUUUUCUUUUUGUAAUGCUUCAGCUUGAUGGAGAGAAUACGAGAGAAAAAAAGAAGAAAAAAGAAAAGAAAAGAAAAGAAGAUUAAUAAGUGUUUUUUUUUUUUUGUUGUUGUUUAGAUUAAGGAAAGAUAAAAGAGAAAAUAAAUUUCUCUCCAUUUUUUGAGAGAAAAAUAUUGGUUAUUCUCUCUAAAAUUAAUAAAUUUAUUUUCUUUGAUUACUUUAUUUUAUUAGUUUUUUUAAAAAUUUUCUGUCCGGUCCAUUCAAUGAGAAUAUUUUUUUAGAGAGAAAAAGAUAACAAGCUAUUUAUUUCGUUCAUUUUUUCAACAAUAAACUUUAAACUUAGGAUAUCGAAUGCGGACAAUCGAGUUUUUAACAGGUUGCGCCAAGUAUAAUCUAUCCAAAGAGAGUGUUACUAUAAAGCAUGUGUUUCUCUCAAAAAAAAAAUUUUCCCUCAAAAAAAACUAUAAAGCGUGUGUGAGAUUUUUCAAAUGCGUAUGCUGAGUUACAUGCAAUUUGUAUUAUUGGAGGCAUUCGAUUUGGUGGAGCUCUUACAUAUAUGCUAAUAUAUAGGAAGACAAUAAUUGGAUGAUUAAAUAGUUUUAUUUUUUUUACUUCCAAAAAAAGGUGAUUAAUUUUGUACUCGUGAGAAGAAAAAAAAAAAGAAAAAGAAAUUGACUUCAUCAAACAAUUAAUGCUGAUGAAUGAUGGUGACAGGUAAACUGCAAUAAUAGAUCUAUGUUGACGGCCGUAGUAGGUGGAAUUAGUGGGACACCCAAUUGAUUUGCUCAAUCCGGCAAUCUCUUUUAUCUUCUAUUUAUGAUUUAUGGUGAUAUAUUUUUCUAUAAUACGUAUAAGUAUAUUUUUUUUUCUCGUGUUACACUUUUGCAUAUUAAGUGACUGGACUGUAUUACAAAAAAAUUAAAUUUUAAACGAAAAAUACAAAAUACUACUAUACUGAUUUAUAUGUGUAUAAUUUUGUUUUUAGUUUUUAUUGACAAACAUUUAGUUGACGGUAUGUUGGCACAACUUGGGAGGAAUAAUUCUUAGAAUUAAUGCUUCAGGCGUAUCAUGAGUAUUUUUUAUUUCUUUUGUUAACAAAAGUGUAAACAUUAAACUAGAAAAAGAAAUUUAUAAUUUUUUUUAAUUUUAGGACUGACUUAUAAUGUUUGUGUUUUAAAACUUUUUACAAAAUUUAAAGGGCUUUGUGAGUCUCAAAAUGGAGUGCGCAGCUACCAUUUUCUAAAAUUAAUAAUAUUAAUAAUUUUUAUAUUUUUUAUCUUAUUUUAGAAUAAAUUAAAAUAAUGAUUUUGAUUAGACUGUUUAUAUCUCAUAUUACAAAAAAAAAAUUAUUUUUUUAGAAAAAAGUAGCAACUUCUCUGCUUUAUUUAUUUUUUAAAAAUAAAAUUAAUAGAUUUUGAAUUUAGAAUUUGCAAUCUUGAAUACUGACUAGUAACUAUCAAGCCUUUAGUUAAUUAUGUUGGGUACAGUCCAUAAAAUUACAGCCAGGUACGAUCAGUAAAAUAAAAUUAAUUAGAUAUUAAGAUUAAUACUAUAUUGGUUGUUACGAGAUUAAUCUUUUAAGUAGAAUCAGAUCCAAACCUUUUCUCUAUCUAUAAUGAUUUAGCCACUAACAAUAAUAUUUCGUUGGGCCAAUAUUAUUUUUUGUGAGAAAAGAGCAGCAUGCUACUUGCUUCAUUCAUUAAGUGAAUUUAGCUAUAUAGAAUGAGGCAAUCAAAGCCUCGAGACAAUAAGAAGUCAAUGGAAAAAAGAAAAAAGAAAAAAGAAGAGUAUAUAUGGUAAAGACGAAAAUAAGCGUCAGAAGGAAGGGUGUAACAAUCACCAACAUUAUCCAACUCUACAAAAAUUAGCUCAUUCUUUCGCCAGUUCUCCGAUGAGCAAUAGAGAUAGCAUUCAUAGAUAAAUUCCGAAAGAUAAUAUUGUUUCUUUCAUACUAGAUCAUCCACCACGUGGCCGCCAUAAAUAUCCGAGUCUUCGCAGUGUCAACUAGUGCCCCCUUUUCUAACUCCUCCCAGGCAGUAUUGAAAUCCUCAGUGGAGGGGAGGACGUGGGAGUCUUGAGGAGCAAAAAAAAUAUGAAUUUGUUAAUGACAUAUCCCACCAACAAGUGAUCAACAGUCUUCAGACCAUCCGCACACAAGAUACACCAGUAAUUUCCUGACCAACUCCUUUUAAACAAAUUGUACACGGUAGGCGAUCUUUUUUUUUAAAUUAAAUCUAAUUAUUAUUUCUAGGGUUUCGUCCAAAAUACUAUUUGGUCCAAAAUAUUCAAAUCUAAUUAUUAUUUUUAGUGUAUUCGUUAUAUUUAUAAACUUUUCAGUUCUCACACGCUCUCUAAUACAACGUGUGAUGUGUGAUUAUCGUAAUAUCUCAAUUUCGAUCUUUAAGUUCCAUUCCUACUUUCACAUGUAAUCAUUUUGUGAGAUAAAUAACUUGCUAUAAAAACCAACAUUAGACGAUCAAAAAUCCAAAAUUGCCACGUGGACUUAAACUUUUCCCCUGCCUCGAUCUCUCCUGGUUAAAGAAUUGGAUUUAUUAUAAGUCAAAAAUAUUCAUUACUAAGAAGAUGAGAACUCGCAUCAGCUUUCCUCGACAACGUUUUACGCACAAAGAAAAAGACGGCGUUGGAGUUUCUAUCUAGAAAGAGGAAGAACCCUCUCUCUCUCUCUCUCUCUCUCUCUCCCCAAUAAUUUUUUUUUUUCCUUUUUUUACGUUUUGGUUCAUCCAAUAGUUUCCAUAUUUUACCCGAUUUAGUCGAAGUUGGCGAAAUCCCCAUCUGGGUUUUCCUCUUUGGAUUGGUUAGGGUCCAUAAAGAUCUAAUUUUUGGGGAAAAUUUUUCCGGAAUUCGAUUUUGUUGGGGGAAUUGGGGGUGGGUGCUGUUGAUUUAGGAACUGAGUUGAUUGGUUUUGAAUGGUGGGUAUUUAAGGAGAGGUUUUGGUUCAUCUGGGAUUGAUCUUAGUAUGGCCGGAGAGGAUUCAAUUGAGGUAAAAUUUAGGCUUUUUGAUGGGACUGAUAUUGGGCCCAGUAAAUAUGAUCCUUCAACAACUGUGGCGUCUCUCAAGGAAAUCAUAUUAGCUCGGUGGCCACAAGGUGGGAGCUUUGUGAUCUUUUAAUUGCUUUUUAUUGUUCAUCAAGUUAAUAUUUUGCUUUCAUUUAUGUUCCCUCUUACAGCUUUACCAAAUUCUUCUUUUUUUAGUAAUUUAUAUUUCCUGGUUGGCAAAACUAAUUACAAUUUCUCUUUUGGCGUUUUAAUGGGAAAGUUGAAUCUAGUUACACCUUUUAUUGUCUUUAAUAAGCUAAAAAAAGGGCUUAAUAUCUCCAGAUCUUGUGUGGUUUUUAUUUGUCUCCUUUACUAUCUGUUUUAGAUUAUGUCCAAUUUGGUUUAACCAAACAUAGGUUUUAAUGUGGAAAAUUGUUAACUUGGCUGCUUCUGAUUCUAUGCUAUUAUAGUUUCAGUGUAAUUAUGCUCAAUUUCUGUGUAUGGAUAGCUUAUUCUAUAAUUCUGAUGAAAAUGAUCUAUUAAAUAACUCGGUGGCAUUUAUUUAUUUAUUUUUUCCAUUUUUUUUCCUUUGCUUGUUGUAGCUUGACUUCGUGUAUCAAAUUAAUUGUAUUGUUAUAAUGUUCUAGGAAAUCAGUCUAUACCAUCUGCAUAUUUGUCCUUCUGCAUAUGGUUAUGGUACAAUUUUCUUUUCUCUGGUUUUGUCAGUUUGCAUCAGUUUGAUAUUCACUGUCGCUUGUUGUAAUAUCUUCUUCAAUCAUAUUAUCGUCCCUUGCAUCCAAAUUGCAUAAAACUUGCAAAUUAGAAAUUUAUCUAUUGUUGUAUGAGCGGCACUCCAUGCAAGAUCGACUAUAGUAAAUAUAGGAUUGAUACUGUAUCUUCUUUUGAUGACGCCAUUGUUCGUCUUUUUUCUAAGAGAUACAGGAAUGGUGCUACUGCAGAGAGAUAUCAUCGAAACUUAACCCUUUUGAGCUUAUCUCGAGAGCCGAUCAAAUUGGUUUUAUGUUAUACAAGUCAUGGUUGUUAAGUAGUUUAUUUUCAUUUUAGUACUUUAUAUGACACCAUCAUCCCAAUUCAUCUGAAGGCCUUGCCAACUAAUAUUGAUUUAAAUGGGGUGGCUCAUUUCAUCUUAAUUAUUAUUGUUGUUCAUUCUAUGAGUUUUAAUUAUUAGUGGGCUACAGUACCAACAUUGAUAGGAUUGUCAGAGUUAGUUCUCAUGAGAAAGGUAUCAAGUAAACAAAUUUCUAGAGAUUAAAAGAAAGUUUUUUUUUUUUUUUAAAGAAAAAAAUAGUUCUUUCAAACAUCAUGUAUUAGUAGUUGGCUUCUCUACCUACCUUUAGGUUAUCUACUUUUGAUCAUUUAGCUCCAUCUUUAAUAAAGCAAGAAUAGAGACUAUGUUCUGGGAAUUUUAUUGCUACCAUGUAUUUCAUGCUUGAUCUGUCACUUUUAUCUAAAUUUGUUACUCAUAGUUGCUUAAAUUAGUGUAAAGAUUUACUAAACGCUGUUUCCAAAUUUUUUUUGCUGAUAGACAAGGAAAUUGCUCCGAAAACCAUAAAUGAUCUGAAACUGAUCAAUGCUGGGAGAAUAUUAGAAAACAACCGGACUCUCGCCGAGUCUAGAGUACUAGUUGGAGAGGUUCCUGGAGGUGUAAUCACUAUGCAUGUCGUGGUGCGCCCUCCCCAAUUUGACAAAAACAACGGUAAUUUUGCCUUGUCACGGUAGUUUUUGAAAAGAACAUACUGAAAUAAUCUUUAUCUCCUACAUGGUUGUUCUUAUAAUACUGGAAGGUUUUGAAGUGUUGAAGCAAAUACAAACGUUGUGGUUGUUAUAGCUCUAGAUUUCAGUUGUUUAUCUAAGACUUGUAUCAAAAUUUACUCUCGGAAAAAGACUCAAAUCAAAAUUACUAUGAAACAUAGAUCCUUAGUUGAUUGCAUUAAAUAGACUGAUACAUGCUCAACCUCUUCUUCGCAGACUUAUAUUAGGAAAAGUGUUGGAGCAUUACUGAAAUUGUUUUCACGAUUAUCAAUGAAGUUAUGCAUGCUAAAGUGUUUUAUCUCCCACUUUUAAAUCGUAAUGUGGAUAGUUUUUUACCUGUGCAGCGAAACAGCCGACAAAAACCCCUAGGCAGAACAGAUGUCAAUGCACCAUUCUGUGACGCGUGAUAAACAAUUUAAUAAAGCAAGCACUUUCGUUCGCUGCUUGGAACUAUCAGUGGAUCUGUUGUGUCCGCAGGAGGCGCGAAUGCCCUUUUGAACUCAUCUUUACUGGUCCUCAAGGCCUCUAAAUUAGUUUUCGGAGUUCUCUUUCGCAAGAAUGCGUUCUUUCAUGCUUCUGGAGCUAAGACUUCAAUUCGUUGUGCAGUGCGAAUUUGUUAUUUGUGGCUGUAUAAAAUGUAAUGCGCAAACACUUUUUUUUUUUUUUGGUGUUUCCUACGACGCUGAAUGACACAAUGAUUGGAAUUAUUCUUUCUCGAAAAUUGGUUUUCAGUGUCAGAAGCUGCUGCUGUAUGUUAGCUGUGUGUAGCAGCAAUUGGUAGCAUAAAUAUGUGUUCAGGGAAAAGGAGUUGCUGCUGUGCUUAAGGUAACUUGGAUUCUUGUUUGCACUGAUUAUAAAGCUGGUUUUCUAGAGACAAGUCUGGAUUAAUAUGAAGGUUUAUCGCUGAGGCCACUUUCAGAUCAGACAGUGGGCAGACUGGGCAAUAAUUUGAGUGACAUUAUUAACAGGUUUUAUUGCUGACAUUGAGAUUCGCCGCUGAUCGAAUUUAACCGGAUUCAAUAUGAGCCUAAAAAACCUCUAAAUUUUACACUCUAGACUUUUAUGUAAUGUAACUAGAAUUCAUUCAUUAGUGGCUUUGAUAAUGUCAUUUUCUGGACUCUUGUUGAAUCCAUUAUUGGGAAAAUCGAAAUGUAGGAUCUUGGAAGCUCUGAAAUAGUAUUUAUUUUUUCUUUGUGAGAAAAAGAUGGCAUGCUAUUCACUUCUUUUUCCUUUUUUUAUAUAUAUGAACUUAGCUCAAAAUGUAAAUAAUUAUGUAUUGAUUGUUGAAUCUUUUGUUAGUUGCGCUAUGGACGGUCUUUAAAACAAUUGUAACUAAGCUAACAUAUAAAUUGAAAAGAUAUACUAAAAGUCUAACACCCCAAAUAAUUGUAAGAUCACAACCCUACUCUCUUUCCUAAGGUUUAUGCAAUCCUUUUUUAGAUUUUAGGAUUAAAACACAACUUAGUGUGAAAAAGUUGGUCUUUGAAUGGGUAAUUCGAAUUAAAAAGUCUCCAGAAAUGUUUUACGAUGUAAAAUUGUCUUGGAUUUAUUUUGUUAAUUUCAUUUGCGAGAUUCGAAUCGUAACAAUUAGAGAUUUAUUCCUCGAUUUUUUUUCUACCAACCAAACUUACUCCAAAUACAUUUUUGGUGCUUUCCGAAACCUAAAGCAUUGGAAACCAUAGUUUUGUUAACAGUUUUUUUUUUUUUUUUUUUCCCUUGAGAAAUAAAUGACAAAAAGAAAGAAAAGAAAAAUAAACAGAAAGGUUUUCUCUUGUAUAUAUAUAAAAAUUACAUUCAUAAAAACUAAAUAUUGGGAAAUAAAUUUAAAAAAGAAAAUUCAAUUACCUUUCUUUUUUUUUCAAGGCACAAAUCACAUAGGCCAUUGCACAACUCCUAUUUAAUCCAUCUCUACACCAAAAAAAAAAAAAAGAAAGAAAAAAGAAAUAAAAAAAAACUCUAUAAGCCCCUCCAGCCUCAGUAGUUAAUUAACUGAUUUGUCAGGGGCUAAUGCGAAUAUUUUAGUACCAGUUGGAGCGACCUUUUUGCUUUUUAAUAAUCCGAAGAAGCGUUUUAUGGGUUUCUUCUCUUUAGAGCUCUUCGCUUCCAUUCGCUGCUUCUUCUUGUAGAGCUUCCUCAUCACGUACGCUUCAACUAAGUCUCCUCCCAUCGAAGCCAUUAAUUAAUCACUCGUGAAGAAAAAAGAACAAAAAACUAAGUAAUUAAGCUAAAUACUUGUACUGGGUUUUGUCCUAUAAAACGUACGUGGUAAUGGUUAUUUAUAGAAGAUGUGAAGCAAGGAGUUGACUUUAUGAGGCUAAAUUUUAAGUGGUGGAGUUGUGGUGCAACUUUGGCUCCUCUUUAAUUUCUUUUAGGAAAAACUUCAAAAACCCCUUCUGUUAUUUUACUUUUUUUUAUUUUAAUAGCCUAUAGUUUAAAAUGUAUCAAAUUAGUAUUUUAUGAUUUUACACUUGUUCACUUUAAUACCAUAUGGUUUAAAGUGUAUCGAGUUAGUACUCUAUGGUUUCGCACUUUAUCACUUUAGUAUCCUGUGGUUUAAAAACGACAUGGUACUAACUUGAUACAUAAAUAAAAUAAUAGAGUACUAACUUGAUACAAAAAUAAAAUCAUAAAGUACUAACUAGAUAUACUUUAAAUCAUAUAAUACUAAAGUGAUAAAGUGAAAAACCACAUGAUACUAACUGGAUACACUUUAAACCACAGGGUACUAAAAUAAAAAAGUGUGAAACCAUGAGCUUUUUUUUGAAGUUUUUUCUUUCUUUUAUUAGUUCAUGCCGUGCAUGACGAUGUGUGUGUAAUAGUUUUUUUCUUUUUAAUUUAUUUUUAACAACAGAUUUAUUUUUUAAAAAAACUUAACUGAAAAUAUGAAUCAACUAGAAUUUAAAUUUUAAAACUGCGAAUAUCACCCACCAAAAUUUUUGCCACUUUUCGCUAGGAACAGUCAGUACAUGUGUGCAAUAGUUGUCGGCAAGAUAGAAGAAAAAGGGGGGCAGGGGCGGCGGCCGGCUAAGUGGGGGCGGCUAAGUUUGGAAGUAUGGAAUAAAUUGGACUGAAAAAUUGGAAACACAACAGUACGUCAGAAUUGGAUGAGUCUAUAUUAUUCAAAUAAUAAUUACGAAUAUAAAAAUUAAAAAUUUUAAAAAUACCAACUUUAAUUAUUUUGCACCGAUAGUUUAACGAGUGCUAGUCUGUUAGAAAGUGUUGUAAAAUUUAACCCGAUUUGAAUGUCAAAUGUCUCCAUCAUGUUUGAUGAUAGGUUAUUUCACCAUUAUUAUUUUAUAGCAUUGAGAAAACCUUCAAAAUAUUUUAAAUUUUUAAACACUAUAAAACAAAAAAAAAUUAAAAUUGAUACAUUUGAUCAUCAUAUUAUUAGGCUUUCUGGCAUUAGUCGCAUCAGGUGGGGGUGCUUUACGAUUCGCACGCGAAUCUCGUUCCUGAUCAUCAUACUAUUAGACGUGUCAUACCAUUACACGUGUCCCACCCAAUUUUUAUCAGCAUCAUGACCGUUCAGAAUAUGGACGGUCGUGAUUCGCUCUGCUACGCCGCCAUCUAGGGUUUCCGACGACCCCCGUCCUCGCCCUCUCCCAACUCUCUCGCUCUAUAGCUCGCGUUUCCCUUCAACAAAUGGUAAUCAAGUUCCUCAAAAUCCCCAAUCCUAUCCUAGUUUUUUUAUUAGAUUAUUGCGUUAAAAUCCGUGGCGAAUCUCGCGGAACCCUGAAUUUAAUUCUUUUAUUUUGAUCAAUUAGCAUUGCAAUAUGCAAUUAGUGUAGGGUUGAACAAUUUGUUGCUCAGAUUAGGAUUAUUUAUGAAUUGACAUGCUGUUGAUAUUGGAUAUUAGGUUUUUUUUUUUUUUUUUCCCUUUUUUUAUAAUUACUGUACAAAGAAAAAUGCUCAUUAUUUUUUAAUAUGAUUUUUUUUUCCCUAUUUGCAGUAGCUUUUGUUCCAUUGAUUAGAGCAGAGGUUGCAAUUUGAUGCUUCUUAAUUUUGCAAGUAGGUUUAGAUCUUCUCGUGGAGUCCGAGAAAUCGAUUCAUAUAGCUCAAGUUCAUCACUGCAACUGAGUACAUUUAUAUUAUUGCGGAGAACCAUUUGCACUAUUAGAAUGCCCACUCCAGAUCUCAAUCUUAGCACCAAUAACUCUACAAACUCAAAUGAUGAGGCAUCUUGUGAGGACGAUGUGCGCGCGCCGAGUGUCCAAUCCACUCCCGACAUCGAAAAGAAUUACGUGCACCGUGUUUACGAUGCCAUCGCUCCGCAUUUCAGCUCCACCCGGUUCGCCAAGUGGCCGAAAGUAGCCGAAUUCUUGAGCUCCUUGAAACCUGGUUCGGUCAUUUUAGAUGCGGGCUGUGGGAACGGAAAGUACCUGGGACUGAACCCUGAUUGCUUCUACAUUGGCUGCGACAUAAGCCCUCCCCUCAUCGAGAUUUGCGCGAGAAGAGGGCACGAAGUAAUGGUCGCCGAUGCUGUUAACCUUCCUUACAGAGAGAAUUUUGGCGAUGCGGCGAUUUCCAUUGCGGUGUUACAUCAUCUGAGUACCGAAACGAGGCGGAGGAAGGCCGUAGAGGAGUUGAUUCGGGUGGUUCGGAAAGGCGGUCUUGUUUUGAUCACGGUGUGGGCUGUUGAACAGGAGGACGAGUCGUUGCUCGCUAAGUGGACUCCUCUUUUUAACAAGUAUGAUGACGAGUGGGUGGAUAGUAGCAUUUCUCUGCUUAGAAACCAAUCAAAUAUCAAGUUAGAGAGCAUUCCAGAGACCGCUGAAGAUUCAGGUGCAUCAAAGCAGGUAGAGAAUCGAGUAAAAGAUGUUCAAGAAAACCCAGAUGAUAAAAUUGUGGCAUCGCCUUCAGUUCCUUCUGCGGACAAUGGGUGUAGUAUAACUCAGCAAGAAUACUUUGUUCCUUGGCACCUGCCAUUCCAUCGUGCUGAGAUUGGCGGUGCAUCAGCUUCUGCUCUGGAAAAUGGGCUCGCGAAGAAAGAUGAUAAGAAGGGGGCGAUAGUGUACAACCGCUAUUACCAUGUUUUUGCUGAAGGGGAACUCCAAAGGUAUAGCAUCGUUGGCUUUUUUACUCGUCCUUUUGAAUCUUUGUAAUCAUAAAACUCGACCUCUUUCUUUCUUUUUUCCAGGUUAGUUUCCGGCGUAGAAAAUACGGCCAUAGUUGACCAAUUCUAUGACAAAUCCAACUGGUGUAUUGUUCUUGAGAAGAUUUGAACCACGGAUGCACUGUAGUGUUAACCUUAUGCACCGGAUGGACAUCAACUAAAACAAAUCUAAAGAGACUGAACUAUUACAGUCAAUUCAAUACACCAAACUUUUUUCUAGGUGAUGUACGUUCCCUCGUAGUCCGCAUGUUUUGGUUUCUUCGUCUUGAACCCUCUAUAUUGUCUUUAUGCUGGCAUUAUAGGAAUCAACUUCGGCAUCUAAAGGUUUUGGCCUUCUGAUAUGCCUAAUGAAAGUUUUGGCAUGUGAAUGAGACAUGGCAGAAAUUUGCUUCCAUUCUGAUGGGUUUUCUUUUGAAGAAUGGAUUGCUGCUGAGAGGUAAAGUAUACUGCAUGAAAUACAGAAACUUAAAAGUGAAAUUUACUUGCAUACUGCUUUAUUUGGUCGAUUCAAAGUCUGCAGUCAAUUUGUUUUCUCUGAUCAGUGAGUUUAAACCGUGUCAUCGUAUCAUUGAAAUCAAUUCUGCCUUUCUUUUACCUUUUUUUGGGGUAUAUAGUUAAUGGCAGUUUCUUCUCCCCUGCAAUUGAGUGUAGUCUCUUAUUUCGAUUGAAGUAUCAAUUAAUGCAUUCUGUUGAUGAUCUAGCCGCACUGAGUUACAUUUCUUUUGAGAGAAAAGGCAAAAAUAUCUGGAGACUCCAAUUAUGGCCCAUAGAUCCCUUUGUUUUGAUCGACACCUCAAAUUUAGAUUUUUUUUUUCUUUUUAAUUUGAGUUAUUUCAUUCGAAUUUGGGACCGUAGUUGAAACAAAGUUUCUGACGAAAAUAACCAAAACCAGAAGUUGAGGGAUUUAAAAAAGAAAUAUAAAGUUCUGGGGCUUAUUUCAAAGUAGUCGAGCAGCUGUUUGGGUCUCUGUAUAAUUUUUGAUUGACUCCUCCUUCGCUUUGACUUCUCCGGUUCCACUGGCUUGGUCAAUAACAUAUGGAGUGAAAGACAUUAUUUACCUUUUCUCUUGAAAAGCUAAAGACGCCUGGCUCAGUUGCGUUCUUGCGCUGUACACAAACCAACAGAAUACACACCAAGAGGGUUCUUGCUCACACAAAAAGUGUUUACAAGCAUGCUUAUUUCCUUGCUCCAUAUAACAAGUGCCAAGAAGCAUCCUCCAAGUUUGUGGAAUCCAAAAAGUGGGGAUGGCAGUAGGAAAGCCCAGAUGGGAGGUAACCGUUCUGCUACUCGCCCUUCUGGUUUCGACCGUGGCUUUUUCCAUGAAGCCACCCUCAGCAGCCUCCUGUCACCAUGAGUGCGCACGCGGGGUGAGCCUGUGCAUUGUGCAGCUGUGCACUUGGGUGCACUCGGGAGGUGGAUACAGCGAGUGCCGAGAAACAUGCGAGAAAGCAGGGGGCUUCUGCGAGAACGGCUGUAAGAGUGGCAGCAGCAGCAGUAGCAGCAGCAGCAGCAGCAGCAGUGUUGGUAACAAACAAUCGGCUGAGCCGCCCGUGGUAGCCUGAAUGCUCUUAUCGUUUUUGCCGAACUAAUUUAGAUUGUUUUGUACUUCUCUUUCCUUGUGUACUCGCAAUCAAAAACAUUUUGUGUUUCUCAUGAUGCACAAUACUCUCCCUCUCAAUAUGCAAGUGCCACUAUGGGGUUAAAAUAAAAUUCUUAUAUUGUUUUGAAAGAUUAGCUGGUUUGUUUACAUAAUUCUGUGUUCUUGAAUUGUAUGUCACAGCCCUCAAAUUCUUCCAAGCAAGGUGUUUAUGACAAGCUUUUUCUCCUUUUUUCUUGGUUGCAUGAAUCUAGUAUUUACAUUGCUUAGUUACUGAACAAAAAGCAAUUUCGAUCCUAAUGUUGAUGCAAUGUUCGAUUUUGCCACAAGAAAAUAAGUUCCCAAAUGUAGCAGUUCAACUUUGAUCACAAGAUUAUGAGCAGAGACCAUAUUUCUAUAUGCUGCGAAAAUAGAUGCAAAUCUCAUUAGGAAGAAGGAUAACUUCAGAUAUUCUUAAACUUGAGAUCUAACAGCAUGAAAUAGGCAAGCCCCAGAUGUUAAAUGCUCAAGAGCUCUUCAAAUGCCGAGUCUAAGGUGCCAAUUAAGUUACCUCUCUAAUGCCAUUAGAUAAAAUUACUACUACUACAAACUACUACAUAGACCACCCUCUUAUUCUAAAGGUGAGUCACCAUUACCUCAUAAAGAAAGAUAACCCACAGUUGGGAGAUAGAAGAGAGAAAGUGUUAAAGCAAGAGAAACAGAGGACAGAGUUUUAAAAAGAACAACAGAGGGAAAGCUGAUCAAAAUCCAGAGCUUCACUUCUUCCUCUUCUUCGGGGGCUGAAUCGCUUCCUCGUCAUCGUCCUCCUCUUCCUCGUUCUCCUGAUCAUCAUCCUCCUCUACCACCUCUUCCUCCUCCUCGCCCCCGUCGUCAUCGUCGUCGUCAUCGUCGUCGUCAUUGUCGUCAUUGUCGUCAUCGUCGUCGUCGUCACCAUCUUCCUGAUCAUCGGGCUCUUCCUCCUCUUCCUCACCGUUCUCCUCGCCACCGGCGUCACCGCCCGGGUUCUUCUUCCCGCUGUUGUUGUUCGGGUUCUCGUGCCCUUCCCCUUCUUCCUCCGAGACAUCCUCUUCGCCCUCUCCAAAGUCACCGCCCUCUUCGCCAUCCCCGUCCUCGUCGCCGUCCUCUUCCUCAGCAUCUGCAGGCUCGGACUUGCUGCUUUUCCUUCCAGCAGAUUGGAACUCCGGCAUCAAAUAGAGUGGCUCCUGAAUUACAUUAGGGCGAGUAAUUAUACGAAAACCUAAGAUUAUAAAUUCAACAAAUGUGCAUCAACUUCCUUCUUAAAGUGAUACUCAACACUAAAAGCAGAGCAAUAGAAUAACAAUCCAAACACCAGUAUUGAGGCUUUUCUAAAGAAAUAUAAACCUAGAUAAGGAACCAAAAUCACUUGCUUAGGUGGACGUGGCUCGGCUCGGCUCGUUUUUCCUUAAUUGCAGAAUACAUCAAUUCAGAUGGAUUCAAACCGCCGAACCAAAUUCUUACAGUGAGAGCAUACAAAAUCAAUUCGAACAAACUUCUCAGAACGGUUUGGUUUUGUUCAAAAGUGCCAUCGCCCUCGCGAAAUCUAUUUCACAAAAACUUUUAAGGGGCCGCUGAUGAACAGGCAAUCACACGAAGUGCGUGCUGAUUAAUUCAAGCACGCACACUAUGGCACUUUAGAGGCCGAAUUAUUACUCUCUACUCACAAACCAAAUUCAAAAGUUCCAAUUUUUUGUUUUCACCUUCCCCCCCAACAUUGAACAAGCCUAUGCGGUUCACUUCCUUUUUAGUUCAGUUUCUAUUUUCCCGGGUAAUAGUCACAUGUGCGUGUGACAACCAUUAAUAUACAGCGGUAAGAAAAUAUUUGAGAAAAUAAAAAAAAUAAAAAAGAAAUCAUCAUGUUGACGUGAUGAUAUUAAAUGGACUAGUACACCAUAAUUGAUAAAACAAAUCCAAUAUACUAUUGUAACUCCAGUGAAAAAAACAGAGAUUUUCUUUUGAGUCUGGUCUCAAACAAAUUAUUAAGAAUUAACAACCUUGAUAAAAUAAUAAACUUCCCCCGCUAAGUCAACUAGUUACAGUAAAAUUAUAUAUAUAUAAAUAUACUCAAAUAAUUAUUUAAAUUUUUAAAAUUCAUUAUGUUUGUACGAAGUGUCUUGUGCGUACAAAUUAAUCAAAAAAAUCACCACAUCACUAUCACAUAUAAACGUAUAAUGAGAUCUAACCAAAUAUUGUCCUGCUACCCAAAAGUACAGUACCUAAAUUUUCAGUGACAUUUUAGCACCGUAAAAUUACGAUAUUACCCUCGUUACCGUGCCCUCAUCCGGCUCAAAGGGACUGGUUGGGUGCAACUUUAAAAGGACACGUGUCGCCUAGAGGAGCCAACCACGACAAACCCCUCUCUCUCUCUCUCUCUCUCUCUCUCUCUCUCUCUCUAUUCACUAUACGACAAUAAUAUCUCGAAACCCGAAUAUUCGUUUCCCUUCAUAAAUCGAAUAUUCUCAACCGGAAAUAAUAUAAUUAAUAAUUAUAAAAUUGGAAAAUAAAAAUCGAUCGGUUGGCUUUAAAUGCCAAGUGGGGCCCGCACCGGACCUGAAACCCGUGCUAUAAACCGCAAAACAAUCCGAGCCUCGGGUCCGCAAAAAAAACGGAGGCGCACGAUAGCGCUCGCCGCUCCACGCGACAAACGAAGUUAUGAAACCGUUUGAGAUCUCUCUUCGUAAACAGUGAGCUCAAACGGGUUAAAAUUAAGGAGAUUUAAUUAUCUAAUUAAGGAGUGAUUAAGUUAAAACAAAGUGAUAAAUUAGGGUUACCGUUGGGGGGAGAUGAGCUUUGGGAGUGGCGCCGAGGAGCUCCGCGGCGCAGGUUAGCGUGGACCGGGGGUGCUCUCCGGCGCAGGAUAGCGUGGACCGGGGGAGCGCUGAUGAUGGGAUCACGAUCUCCAUUUGGACGGCUGGGAUCUCGUAUCGGGAUGAGCCUGUGGUAAUCGGAAGGGUGGGAGAUGGAAAGGGAACCGUCAGAUCCAUAGUAGAUAUAAUGAGAAAACGAAACCUUAUUUUUUCCAAAAAUAAAAAAUAAAAAAUAUUUUUCCGCAAAGCCAAAAAAAAAAAAAAAGCCGGAAGAGCGUUUUAAAAUAAAAAAAAUUGUACGAAUAAUUUUAAAAAACUUUUUCCUUGGUUUUUUUGCACUUUCCUCCCAAUAUAGUAAACGAAACAAGGAUUCUACCGACUCAAAAAAAGGAAAAGGAAAAUUUCAAAAACAAAGAAAAAUUAGUCCCCUGAUUAACGCAAAAACCACCGAAUAAUCGCGAAAACUUCUUAAAUUUCUUAACAAUGAAAAAAUGGAAAAAAAAGAGGCCAAAAAUAUGAUUUUGAACACAGAAAAAGGCACUAAGCUAGCGAAAAAUCGAAUAUUUGGGCAAAUAAACACCAAAUUAAGAGGAAAAAUGACGAAAAAAAAGGUGAAGGAGAGGCACCUGUUAAGGGGGUCGAAGAAGAGAAGAAGCGGAUCUACGAAUAACUGGAACUAAGCCAAGCUCCGCUUCUUUAGCAUCAUCACCGACGAUGCUCUCGCCACAAAACAAAGAAAGAAAACAAAAAAUAGAAGGGGAGAUAAAGCGAAGAGAGGAGGGGAGCUAACAAGCUGAGAGAUUUUUUUUUUUCUGGUUUUUUUUUUAGAUUUUUUUAACUCUCUAGAGUUGGGUGGAGAGUGGGGGAGAGAGAGAGAGAGAGAGGGAGAGAGAGAGAGAGAGAGAGAGAGAGGGGNGAGGACGGGCAGUUCGGGCAGGGCGGGCAGGGCAGGGCGUGAGGGAAAAGAGUGGUGCGCACCGCUGCCCGUAGAAAUAGGAGGCUGAGGGAUAAACGGGGUAUUAGCAAAAUAAAAGCGAUAUAAUGCGCCUCGGAUUAGCGCUUAAUAUCUCGCGGUGAUCCUCCUCAUUAACGUUGCAAGAUUAACGGUCCAGUACAAAGCACGUGGGGCCCACAUGUCACCUAUACGAAAAAGCUGUGACACAAUAUAGCCGUUAAUGUGAUAGUAUUUCCACUCUUUUAAACCCCCCGGGUGUGGGGACCCACCGCACCCGAGCAAUUAGUAGAGUGGAUGGGAAUACGAUUCUCCCAGCUAACUAGGGUUAAGGUGUGUGGUUAGGUGAAGCAGUUGAGUUACUUGGUCUUUACUCUUUGGAGAGAGAGAGAGAGAGAGAGAGAGAGAGAGAGAGAGAGCUUUAUCCUGGCCACUUGGCCCUCGCGAGAUAUUUAAGGAUAUGUUCACCUAACACCUAGCUUACCCUCUUGAGCACAUUGUACUCCUUUUGAACCCGAACACAGAUCCAUUGGGUUGGUUUGGGUUUAGAUCCAACGUAUAUAAUAUAUAAUAAAAAUAAAUAAUUUUUUUAAAUUUUUAGUGUUAAAAAAUAAAAUUAUGAUAAGAUUAGUAUGCUAAAAUUAAAUUCUGAAUGAAUAAAGUAUAAGAUUUAAAAAACUGUAGCUUUUCAGAAAUUCAUAUUUACCCACUAGUCUUAUCUUAUCAACUAUUAUUAUAUUUUUAAUACUAAAAAUUCAAGCGAGAGGUGCAAAAUAUAUUAUACGCAUAAAAUAUUUUUAAUUAUGCAAAAAAAAAAUCAGAUUUUUUUUUUUUGUAUUUAAAAAAUUCUAAUAUAGUGUAACUAAAAUCACUCAUGAGACAAAAGACUAGUAAGAUAUUUCCAUUAAAAAACAAAUGAUGGGGCAACUUGAGAAGAGCAUAUAAUGAGGGGGUCACCGUACAUUUGUAUCUAUUUUAUUCUCUCGCACUUUAGUUUUUAGAGUGGUGAGAGGUUACCUGCGAUCACCGAUGCAACCACAAAGCCAAAGACCGAGUCAGAGUGGCGAUCCUCCCGCUCGUUAACACCGCCACCAGUUUUAUUCAGCGCUGGAUUUAUCCGUUAAUUAAGCAGAUUGAAUCGAAGAUUUGAAAUCCAUCAAACUUUAGCUCGCCAUUCCUUUCUAGAAGAAAGAUGUGGUACCUGCCACUAAAGCGUGGGCAAACUUUAGCUCAGCUCAGCACAUAGCGAAAAAAUGAUUAUAUAUGAAAAUCACAAACUCUGCCCCUUAAUUUAAUAAAAGAUAAAUGUUAAAUGGCGAAUCUAAACUCACCCUUAUCCCACGGUAUGGUUUAGUUGUUUUAGUCCCUCGGAAAUGCAAGAUCAUUAGUGUUAACUACCUAGAUGUCAAUCCAUGAGGUCAAAAGUUUGAAACUCCACUUGAGUGUUUAUUAAUAGGGCGUUAUUAUUAACGGAGCAUUCUCAACAGUACAGUAAAAAAAUAAUCCUGGUAUAGAAUAGUUUCUAAGAUGGGACCUACAGACUUAAUGAAAAAAACGAAACAGAGGCACAAUUUCGUACUUCACCUACUCAUUUUAAGAGCGUGGACUUGGUCCAACGGGCCUUAUGGACUUCUAAUGGCUACUUUACUGGGUCCUCCAUAAUUUUUCAGUUGGGCCCUCUGCGAAGCUUAGGAAAUAAAAUUUACCAACAAACUUUUCCCUCAAACCGAAAAAAAAAAAUUUAUAAAAAAAAGAGAGCGAAUGUAGCUAUUAGUAAUUUAUUAUCUGGGGUCUCACACGCCCUUAAAUCAAGCGUAGCAACGAGACAACGAAUGAGAGAGCCCUCAAAUUUCCGAACCUGAUUCAUAGAGAAUUCACAUAUUCAUCUCUUAAGAUAGAAAUUGCUAAGAUUGAUAAAUAAACUGCAAAAGUUGAAUGGUACUAGGGAGGAAAAACUCAUAGCCAAUGUGUAACAAAACCUCGACAAGGAUAUCAUCUCCCAAGACAAUAAAAGUACUUCAAUGCUUAUCAAAAAAUUAAACUUUUGACAAAGAUCUCUAGAAAGACUGGUAGCCAAGUUGCCAAUCAAUAAUGCAGGUCGAAACUUAUUUUAGUAUUCAUUUACACUAUGAAAGUAGCAAGCAUUUUGAUGCAAAUAAUAACAAUGCUAGAGUAACAAACAUAGGCUACCAUCAAUGAGGACAACAACGGAAAAGUAAAGCAUACCUGAACAAGCAUAGAUUAUGAACGAGUGUAGUGACAUCCAUGAAUUACUAAUUAUUCUAGUUUAACAGUAGUAUAUUAGCUAACCACAAUGCUUACAUACAUGCAAAGUCUAGUACCACAGGUAGAAUGCGAACUACCUUACAGUUACAAGAUCAGACCUUUGAGAGUAGCAUUGCAAAGAAAUAUUAAGGUGAAAUAGAGCAUGCCACGAUGUACAAGUAGGAAUACUUUUUUUUUUUUUUUAACGUGUAUAUAAUGUGCACCUGGUACCAGUAAAUAUCAUUCUACAAGAACAUGGUUUAAAGCUUAAGAUCUUUAACAGAUGCUAGUAAUGUCACACGUGAGAAUGAUUUAUGAAGGCAACUAAGACAAUUGCCAACAGAUUUAUUAUGUUUCAGAAGAUAAAUAUCUGAUAACCUUGCCAACUUCAAAGAAUCAGAAACAUCUGGAGACAACCAUGGUUGUAUAAUCUCUAGAAUGCAGCAUAUAAUAAUGUUAAACGGGUGUAACAUCAAUCUUUGCGUAAGGAUGGCUGAAGGAGAGAGCACAGCUAUUUUCCAUAAAUAAGGUUCAAGGGGUAAUGUCCUCAAAAAGCACAAAUGUUCUCUUACUGCUUGUCAGUAGCACAUGCCUGCUAGUUUUGAGCUAAGUACAAACAACGAAAAUAAAGGAUGCAUAUGGCUGAAUACUGUCAUAUCUAUAUAGAAUCUUAACAUAGAGUCUAAAAGAAAUUGAUAUAAUAAGACAAUCAGUUCAGAUUUGAAUUGAACUAUUUCAAACAUCAUCUCAAUCAAAAAAUGAAUAUAUGACACAUACCCAUAGCUUUGGCUUAAUCGUAUAUACUGAUGCAAUAUAUAAUUAGUUCUCAACUGAUCUAAAACUGAUACCAAAGUGGGGAUGGCCAAUAUACAAAAUACAAAGGAACUGUGCAAAAUCCAAAACUAUAGAAAAGAAGAGUUAAAAUCCCAUCUUGAUAAAUGUAGCAUAAACAAAAACUAAUAAUUUAGUUGUUGCUAUAUAGCAUAAACAAGACCUAAUUAUUGAAAAUGGACAACAUCUCCCUUUCACACACAAGUGCACAAACUGUUAGCUUUGCAAUGAUCGAUACAAGGUUGACUAUAUAAGAAGGCCCACGGUUAAGUUGACGCAAUUUGGUCCGUGAAUGAGAAAUGACGGUAGUGGCAUUUUUGUUGUUUAUAAAUUACCUACAAUGCAUGUAGCCAUGAACAAAAUAUAUAGAAAAAUUCUGACUAAUGGAAGUCCAUAACAACAAAGCCACCGCGGCUGCACAAGAAUGCAGUUCAAGCUGCAGCUCAGGCAGAGUCGAUCAAAACAGUAGCUCUAAAAUAAAUCAAUGUGCAUCAAUUGAUUUCGGUCGGUUAAGACUAACUUGUCGUCUCUAUUUUGCGCUGCAUGCAUGCGCAGUAGUUAAAUCUGUAAGGGCCUCCCGCCAACUCUAUUGUUAUUUGCUGGCGAUAAGAUAGUCUUCUCAUUGCUGCCCUUAGAAGAUACAAAUUCAAUUAUAACUAAAAAGCCAACUAAAUAAGAUCUAAAGUUUACUAGUACCUGACUGCUAGCUCAACUGGUAGGAGCAUCGUCCUUCAUGCAGCUAUCUUAAUCUUUGCAAUUGUUGUCACAUAGUUAGAGGAUUGCUCUAUGUGGUGCUUGUGGGGCCCAAAAUGGAUUUAAAAAUUUUGUCAAAAAGAACAUCUGAAGGUGACUAGUUAUCAACCAUUAAAAGAGCAAGAUAAAAUCCAAUAUGCGAUAAAACUGUACAUCUGUAAUAAGAUAUAAAUAUAUUACGAAAAGUUCCUUUUCGAUAUUAUAAGGCUCCUAAAGGCUUACUCAACAUCUCUAGAGCCAACACAGAUUGAAAAGCCAUCUGAUCUAUAUGCCAACACCAUUAAGCACAGGUGCAAUUAAACAAAAACCAGAAGGGAAAAAUAAAACCAGCAAAGGAAACUAAUGUCAAGGAAGGAAGUCGCUACAGAUUCAAAAGCCAUCUGAUCUCUGAAUCACAUGAAUUAACCAUAAUCACAAUAUCAUGCUAAAAAAAGGAAGGAAUAUCGAACAGUAGGGAAAUCAGGCAAUCAGCAUAAAAUCUAUAAUCAUUUAGUAAUUUGAAGAUAAACACAUUAAACCGAAAGAAUACUUUUAUAGUAGCAAUUUGAACUCAUAUGCAACAAUCUUUCAAUAGCAACUUCCAUUAAGACAUCAACAAGAUCCAGCUGAAUGCAUUUUGUUGGUUCUUCAGAAAUAAAGAAGUCAGUCAUGUAAACGACAUACUUGUCGUGUAUACUUAAAGGAGACAUCUUUCUGGAAAGUGAAAGAGUAUAGAAAUUAAUAAUAAUGUGACGUUUGAAUUUACCAAGAGAAUACUAGUUUCGAAAUAAUUGCGACAAAAUCAUGACAAAGGCAACAAUUUGUUAAACCUCAACAAUGUAAACAAUGUAUUAGCCACCAAUGAAAACCAUCGACACAAAAAGAAAAGCCAAAGCACCAUGUACGAAAACCACUAGAGACAACUAUAGCAAUAUCUGUUACAAGAAAACGGCAACACAGCUAUAAAAAGCACAGCUAACGGCUAAAACGCAAAACAAUACAACCAUAAAAUUCGACAAAAACCAUAUCACAAAAAGUUCUUUUCCAAAUAACUUUUGCAGCGCAUUCCUCAACAACCCGAGCUUGAUUACGGAUUCAAAAGCCAUCUGAUCUCUAAACCGCUUAAGUAAAUCACGGUCGCAAUAUCGAACUAAAAACGGAGGGAAACCCGACCAGCAAGGCAAUUGAGAAGCUAGAAGACAAUAGAUAUAAGUAUCAAGAAUCUUUUAAACACUCGAAACAAGUAAGAAUAUCAGCAAGAAAAAAACAAGUGUCAAAACUCUUAUACCUAAUGUUGUUGCCCAUAGCCACCCAUAUGUCCAAUAGGCGGUCUUGGCAUCUGGGCCUGCCCCGCAGGUCCGGCCUGAUAAGGAGCAACACCGGCGGUGCCAGCAGCUCCUCCCUGCUGAGUCACCGGCGUAGUGCCUUGGUAUCCAGGAGGACCCUGAAACCCCGGAGGCCCUUGCAAGACAGAAGGGCCCUGAAACCCAGGAGGUCCUCCCUGAAACCCUGCAGUCUGGUAACCAAUGCUCCCAACCCCUAAACCCUGAAUUGGUGAUGUCUGCGUAACAGCGGAAGGUGCCAUAGUUGGCUGGGCCCCAGCACCCAAUGCAGCAGCAGCAAAAGCAGGGUUCAGCGACGCAAGCACCGCUGGAUUGAAGCCAAAAGCAGCCGGAUUCUGCCCGGCCGCCGCCAGCAUGGCGAGCAUUGCCGCAUUCGGUUGCAUCCCCUGCACAAAGGCUUGGGGAGCACCCAUCCCCAAAAAACCCUGGUUCAACAACGCAGUUUGCUGGGCCAAUCCCAUGUCAGGGGUCAUACCACCCAUGCCGACUACGCCGUUGUAAGCUGCGAUGCUCUGUGGCAUGUUCAUAGCAGCUACUACCUCAUUACCAGAGGGGUUUAUCAUAGGGCCUGACGCCGCCUUGUUCCUACCAUCGGUCGCCCUCUGGCAUUGGAGCAAGUGGCCUUCAAAGUUCUUGAUAGGCUCCUCAAGGGCUUUUUGCGCGCCCUCCAAUGUCUUGUACACGAAGAGCGCGAAGCCCUUGGCCUUACCUGUUUGGCGAUCAAACCCUAAGGGGCCCUCCUCGAUCUCGCCAAACUUCGCGAAGAAGUUGUAGAGACGAGUGCCAUCAAUGUCGGCAUGGACGUUCGCGACGUAGAUCUUCCUGGGAAGGUUGUCCGAGUAGGUAGUGCUAGGAUUAGGGUUAGGGUUAGGGCUAUGGCUAGGGUUCGGGAGAGGAUUGGGGCUAGGGUUAUGUUGCUGGUGACCGUGGGGGGUGGGUCCGGUGGAGGCGAGCUGGCACGCGGUCAUGCGGUUGUCGAUGAGCUUCUGGGGUUCGCGGAGGGCGCGGCUCGCGGAGCUCCGGUGGCGGAACUGGACGAAGCCGUAGCCCUUCGAUCGGCCGGAGGGCUUGUCGACGAUGACGCGGCAAUCCUCGAUCUCGCCGUAUCGGGCGAACGCAGCGCGGAGCCCCUCGGAGGUGGUCUCCCACCCAAGGCCGUGGACGAAGAGCUUGCGGUGGGCGGGAUCGGCGUCGGCGGCGCUCAGGAUCUCGUCGAGCGUACGGGGGUCGCGCGCCGCGGCGGAGCGGAGGAGGGAGAUGAGCUGUUCCCGCGGGAACGGCUCCAGGAGCUUCCCCAGGUCCUCGUCCUCCUCCUCAGCGCCGGCGUAGUCGUCGCCGUCGCCGUCGCCGUCCCCCGCCGCCGCGGGCGCGUCGUCGGGGAUGGGGAAGUACAGAGUUUGGCGCGGGGUCUUGUGGUCGGAGGAAUCAUGGUGGUUGGGAGCGGAGAGGAGAUCGUCCUCCUGAUCGACCUUGCGCUUCUUCGUCGCCAUGGAUUAUGGAAGUUCCUAGGGUUUGCGAGGGUUUUAGAUGCUCGUCCAAAUACCAAAGAGAGAAAGAGAGGAGAGAGGAGAGGGGAAUUACUAUUUUACGCUAGGGUUUAUAUAGAAGUUCCGAGGAAGAAGAAGAAGACGAUGGAAACGUUACGAAGUUUAAUAACGAUUAUAUUGGGCUUUUAUGCAACGAGCAGCCCAGUUUGUAAAGUGGCUCGUCCGGAGGGAUGCUUAUAAUGGGCCAACUUCGAAUCUUACUUCGCACCAAUACUAAAAUUAUAAAAUUUAUAAAAGUUUUAAGAAAAAACUUCGAAAACCCCCCAUCGUAGUUUCGCAAUUUCUCACUUUUGUAUACCGUGGUUUAAAGUAUAUCAAGUUAGUANCCGAGCUUGAGCCUAGAUUUAGGCUCGAAAUUAAUUUCAAGCCGAAUUUGAGCUGACAUAAGCUCGCUCGAGCUCGGCUCGUUUCCACCCCUACAAGUUAGUACCCUGUGGUUUCGCACUUUCUCACUUUAGUACCAUUUGGUUUAAAGUGUAUCAAGUUAGUACCCUGUGGUUUCGCACUUUCUCACUUUAGUACCCUGUAGUUUAAUAUUUCAUUUGGAGAAAAAUAAAACUACAGGGUACUAACUUGAUACAAAAAUAAAACCAUAGGGUAUUAAUUUGAUACAAAAAUAAAAUCACGGAGUACUAACUUGAUACACUUUAAACCACAGGGUACUAAAAUGAGAAAGUGUGAAAACACAGGGCAUUAACUUAGUACAAUUUAAACCAUAGGGUAUAAAAUGAAAAAGUGCAAAACCACAUUGGAGGUUUCUGAAGUUUUUUCAAGUUUUAAUUAUCAAACAUAGCACUCGAAGUUUUGGAAAAUUUAAGGGAAAACUUCAAAAAUCCCUCCUGUGGUUUUGCACUUUUUUAUUUUAGUACUCUGUGGUUUAAAGUGUAUUAAGUUAGUACCCUGUGGUUUCUCAUUUUAUCACUUUAGUACCUGUGGUUUAAAGUGCAUCAAAUUAGUAUUGUGGUUUUAUUUUUGUAUCAAGUUAGUACCCUAUGAUUUUAUUUUUGAAUCAAAUUAGUACCCUGUGAUUUUUAAACCACAAGGUACUAAAGUGAUAAAGUGCGAAACCACAACCCACAGGGUACUAAAGUGAUAAAGUGCAAAACCACAGGGUACUAACUUGAUACACUUGAAACCACAGGGUGCUAAAGUGAAAAAGUGCAAAACCACAGGUACUAACUUGAUACACUCUAAACCAUAGGGUACUAAAGUGAGAAAAAGUGAAACCACAUUGGGGGUGUUUGAAGUUUUUCCAAAAUUUAAUUUUCUUUUGUCGGUCCAUUUGGCUGCUCAAAACUUGCAAAUCAUCUUGGCAAGAUAAGAUGAUUUGCUAUCAUCGGAAUGUCUUUUUGUAAAAUAUUUUUAUUAUCAUCUCUUUGUUCUGAAAUCAAAUUUUAAUAAAAUUUAAUUCGACUCCAGUUCAAAAAAUUCUAUUAUAAAUUAAUUAAAAAUAUAUUUGAUGUAAAAUAAAUCAGAGUAUGUUUACAAAAAAAAGAAAAUCAUUUUAAGUUGUCUACUUUCCUAACAUAUCACUUUCACCCCUUUCCCGAAACCAGAAAUCGGCAGGCAAUCAGAAGCCGUCGCCGAUUUUAGCUUAACAAACGCUUUUCUCAACCAGCGUAGAUCCCACGCACACGUGUAACGUGUAGCGAUGGCACAUCAGCCGUCGAUCUCCACUGUUCCAGUGUCUCUACAUUCGGGACCGUCCGAUGAAUCGACGUUUCUUCGUGGCUCCACCGAAACCUUCUCCCUAUAAAUCCCUCCCCCCCUUCUUUUUCUGUGUCCCAUUUCGUCGAACACCUUUCGAGCUCCCCUCGCGUCUCCCACUCUCUCCUGAGCUCCAUUAAUCUCUCUCUUCCCUUCAUUCUCUGUCUACGUCGUCUUCGUUUUCUCCACUCUCCGCUGAGGUAACUCUCUCUCUCUCUCUCUCUCUCUCUCUCUCUAGGGGGCACAAGGCGAUUGUUAGGGCUGGUGCCGUGAUUGGGGGAGGUCCACGGCCCCACCUUAUCUCCUUGCUAGGGUUUGGUCGCCCCCCUUCUACUCCUGGUUGUAUCCCUUUUGCCAUUUCUUGCUUCGGGUUUUGUGGUAAAGUCGUUAGGGUUUAUUUGGAGUCUUUUUUGAACUUAGAUCAAUCUGACUUGCAAUUUACUUUCUUAUGAAACACUUCUCGAUGAUUUGAUUUGAGCGUGCGUGUGCAUUUCCCCAAUUAAGCGAUUCUUGGCUUGUUUUAUGAGUAAUACUCUUCAAUCUUGUUGAUUUUCUCUGCAGUUCCGCACAAAAAGUUAGUGCAUUACUUUUUGUAUGAGUAUUUUACCUAUACUUUAUCGAGGAAAGAAAUUAGGGAUGGGAUUUCGUCUUCCCUUUUAAGGAAAUUGAUUUUAUUCGGCACGCUUAUUAAUGUGUAUUGUCCAAUUUUUUAUCGCAACUCUUUUUAUUAUCUAGGAUUGGUAGGAAAAAGCAAUGGCGAAUCUUUCCGGUCUGAGUACAGGAGCCGCAAACCCGAAUCCAAACAAAUCUUUUGAGGUAAGGAUUCCCCAUUACCGAAAUUAUGUACUGUUUACUGAGCAAUUCCUAUUUUGUUCCUCAUUUCGGCAAUGUUUUUACACCUAUGCUCAGCAUAAUUAUACAGUGACAUGAUGUUUCACUUGAAUGCAGGUUCUGCCCUCUCCUAGUGAUUCUGUCUCGAGCCUUAGUUUCAGCCCAAAAGGAAAUUUCCUGGCGGCUACUUCUUGGGAUAAUCAGGUCUUCUACUCGCAGGCUUUGAAUAUAGCAAAUUUUAAGUACUAAUGUUCUAUGACUUUAUCUAUUUGUUAUGACAUUAACGUCUUGUGCAUACCCUUUUGUUUCCACGGGAUAUAGGUUAGAUGCUGGGAGAUUCUUUCUGGGAGCAGUCAGCCGAAAGCAUCAAUUUCACAUGAACAUCCGGUUUGUUGUGAUGUUUGUUAUUUCGGAUUUUUGUGUGUCUGAUGUUUCUUAUUUGCUGAUUGGUGGUUUUCUGCCGCAGGUUCUAUGCUCGACUUGGAAGGAUGAUGGGAUGACUGUGUUUUCUGGAGGCUGUGACAAGACCGUCAAGAUGUGGCCAUUAAUGACUGGUGGGCAGCCUGCUACAGUGGCUGCUCAUGAUGCACCUGUUAAGGAGCUUGCUUGGAUCCCCCAAAUGAAUCUUCUUGUUACAGGCAGCUGGGAUAAAACAUUGAAGUGAGAAAUGCUUUAUUAAUUUCUUUAAUUUCUUCCUUUUGCUCAUCUCAUUUUUCAUUUCUCAAUGGACCUGAAUUUCCUUGAAUAAUGUGAAGUUGAGAAGCAAUGUGCACCCUUGUUUCGUGGGCUUAUAUUUUCUAUUUUCUGUUAAAGAGGUGGAAACCAUUUGGUGAAAUAUCUUUUUAGAAUCGAGCCAUCUAACACUUUGGGAUAUCAUGAUGUAUGAGAAAUGCUUUCUUGUCAUUGUUACAGUAAACAGUGGCUAUAAUUUGAUGUUCCAAUGCUACUAGUGUUGUUGUCUUAUAAGUAAGGUAUAUCUUAGUAUGAAAAAUGAUUGUUUAUACUAUCCAUUAUAAGACUAUCUACCAUGACGGGUUUUUUAGUGCAAUAGUCUUCUCCUAAAAUUUUAUUCUAAACAUAGACCUGUUAAAUUUUUAUUUAUAAAUAUGGUCCUAUAAAAGCGGUGAAUGGUUCACCGCUUUUAAAAGCGGUGAACCAUUGACCGCUUUUUUUCUUUUUCUCACUUCUUUUUAUAUUUCUACGAUGGUAAAAGCGGUGAAUGGUUCACCGUUUUUAUUCUUUUUCUACUCCUAAUGAGAAGUUAUGAAUGCGGUGAAUCAUUCACUGCAUUUAGAGGUCUAUUUUUAUAAUUAUUUUUUUUAAAAAAAUUAUUUUAUAAUUAUAAAAAUCGAUAGGAUUAUUUAUAAAAAAAAUUCACCAUUGACAGUCUUUGGGUUGUGGAGAUAAAGAGGAGAUAGAUUGGCUAUUUGUGCUUUAUUUUGCUUAUUAAGAUAUCUUAAAUUUGAUCUGAAAUUUCUGGAUCCUUUGAGGACAGUGUUAGUUAGUCGUUAUUGUCUACUCUGUGCUGUACUUUAGUUGCUUUCAUUUACACAAUAUUGAUUAUGAAAUCAUGUUGCUUGUAGGGUUUCAUAUUUUGAAGCCUAUUUUAAAUGCUUUUCAUUUUGUUGUUCUUCCUUUUAUAUUUUUACCGUACAUCUGUAGUAUCAUUGGUAGUUUUCCAUGUAAACUAUCUGUGAACUUACUUUCCAUAUUUGUCUACCUCACAUCUAGGUACUGGGAUACUAGACAACCACAGCCUGUUCAUACACAGCAGCUCCCUGAGCGUUGCUAUGCUAUGACGGUCCGGUAUCCUCUUAUGGUUGUUGGGACGGCAGAUCGACAGCUGAUAGUUUACAAUUUGCAAAAUCCUCAGGUGAUUUAUCUAACACCAGCUGACUAUUGGCUAUUGCGAGUUAAUAGUCGUGCUCCGCAUUAGAGAAUAUGUUUGCACCAUUGUGAGUUGUGUCUCUCAAAUUAAAAUCGUUGAAAUCUUCACCAAACGUUGGUGCAACACUGCAUGUUCUUUUGGCUCUCAAGAUUCCACAAUCUUGGGAUCCUGCGAUUCAAGGCUGCCACUUCACUUGUAUUUUAGUUGUUGUAAUAUGGGCUCGAUGGCGUAAAUGCCAUUAUCAAGGUGUCUUUUGAUGCAGCCAAGAGUAUGUACGCAUAUGCAGGCCCAGUACUAAACAAAUUUUUUUCCCUUUUUUCUAAUUAGACCAUAUAUUUAAAUUUGUUGAAGUUUUGAUAGUUGAUAGUUUUUUUUUAUUUUUUAUUUUAUAUAUAUAUCGACUGCCAACAGACAGAGUUCAAGAGAAUUCAGUCACCUCUGAAGUACCAGACACGAUGCCUUGCUGCAUUUCCUGAUCAACAAGGUUUUCUGGUAAUGCUAUAUUCUUUUAUUUACAUAUUUUCACUUUUUGUUAUUCUGCUGCAUUUUUUUUAAUCGUAAUUUGGAGUGACAUUUGCAUUUUUUAUGUGGGCAUGGAUUUCAUUUGUCUGCUAUGGAUCAUUAUGGCUUUGUUUCAAUGAAUUCUCUUUUCUUUUCUUUUCUUUUUUUUUUGUUUGGUGGAAAACACUGACUUCAGUUGAAUAAAUGAAAUAGAUGCUUUAUACAGUUGAAAACACUGACUUCAGUUGAAGACACUGACUCAAGGAAUAGAUGCUUUAUACAGUUUUUGGGUAUCUCCAUAAAUGUUUCAUAUCCUUUGGAAGUUGUAAUGCAAACAAAUUUUAAUACAAGAGUUGAGUUAGAGUACUUUUAGAAGUACCAUUUUUAUGUCAUUUCCGAUGACAGGGCAUCCGAAUUGAUGAUCGAAGCCACUAAACAUGAUCUAUAGCAUGUGAACAUCCUAGGAACCAAACUUGGUUUUUUUUUUAAUUUACCUAUUGUUCACGUGGUCUCAGAACCAACAAUUUUCAAGGGUAGAUACAAGGUGUAUUUGAGGCCACUUGAUCACUAGGUAAAUAAUCAUGAAAAAUCGCAAAUUUUUGCUUCCUACAAAAUUCACAAGUGGUGGAUCAUAUUUAUGGUAUAGAUCGUCGAUUCGGAUGCCCCAUCUUCGGAAACAGAGGCUUAGUACUUCUGAAAUUAUUCUAACUCAAUUUUUAAUGCAAAGUAAUCUGUUUAUAUAGUUGAAACUUACCUGUUGUUUCAAUUAAUGCAAGCUAAUUUUACAUGGUGUUUCCUUUUGCAGUUUAUUUACCUCUUGAAGUACAUAUCACUUUACCUUUCAUCUUUUUCUUGUCAAGGUGGGCUCUAUAGAAGGAAGAGUCGGCGUCCACCAUUUGGAUGAUGCACAACAGAGUAAAAACUUUACAUUCAAAUGCCACAGAGAAGGCACUGAGAUUUACUCUGUGAACUCAUUGAACUUUCAUCCUGUAAGAUACUAAUCUUAGUUUUUAAGUGUAAGGGACUUUUUCAGAUUAACUUAUGCUUCUGCUGUUCCUUUAUUUGUGUAGGUGCAUGGCACGUUUGCCACUGCAGGAUCAGAUGGAGCUUUCAACUUCUGGGACAAAGACAGUAAACAAAGACUUAAGGUAUUAUUAGGACAGUAGGAUUUUCACAGUAGAAUUCAACUUUUAUGUGCUCUAUAUUAAUAGAUUUGUUUCUUAUUAUUCAUAUCUCCACCGAUAUGAGUUGUUGUGCAUGUUAUGGUUCUUUGAAAGCUCUAUUUUGUUUUACACAUCUGUGUUAUUUCUUCCUUCCAUUCCUGCUUUUGAAUUCUGCUUAAGAGGGUGCUGAAUGUAGACUGGAGAUAGUGUAAAUGUAUGAAAUGACACAGAAAGGAAGUGCUCAUUUGUGCUUGAGUACUAGAAUUUUAUACAUUAAACAUCAUUAUUUAUUAGUAUGAGAUGCAUGGGAAACAUCAUUAUUUAUUAUUAUGACAUGCAUGCAAUGAUAGCUACCUGUUCCGUGAAGCAUCUUCUGGGAUUGACUUGUUUGCGCGUGGUUGAACUUUGACAUGUUUGGUUGACCUUUGACUAUGAUAUUUAAUUUAAUGGAUAGUGUGACCCUUCAUUUUAUGCCGCUUGAUAUGUUUUAUUAAUUUUACUGACCAUACUGUACUUUUUACAGGCUAUGGCUAGGUGUCCUCAUCCUAUCCCCUGCAGUACAUUCAACCAAGAUGGUUCAAUAUUUGCCUAUGCGGUGGGUCUUACUUCUUGGACGUGCAAUUUCUGCUUUUCUAGGAUCCUUUCUUCCAGUACAUGUUUCUAAUGUACAUGUCUGUUUUUAUACUUGUACUUCUGUUUUGAACUUUUUACCUACAUGUUGGCUUAAUAUAUGUUAGUGGCUAGAUUCUUAGAGAUGUUCUUACUAAAUGGUGUUGCCUCUAAGGCUAUUAUACUGUAAAAUAGCUGUAAAUAAGGGUUCACUUCACCCGUGAUUUGUAGAUUGUUUGUUUUGGUAAACAAAAUUUUCUUCUUUUGUGUCUUCUAAUAAAACUAUUAGGCCUGACUUGUAUGCCUGUGUGAGCAGAAGCUUACAUACACACAAUUGAGAAUAAAUUUCUCUGCGAUAAAAUUUUCAGGUGUGCUAUGACUGGAGCAAGGGUGCUGAGAAUCAUAAUCCGGCUACUGCAAAGACGUAUAUCUAUCUUCAUACGCCACAGGUUAGUUUUAACUCUGAUAUUUU